ACCCGGCUCCGCCUGGUGCCGGUGCUGGUAUUGGUGUUUCCCGGCUCGGGGCCCUGGCGUCCUCGCGUGACCCGGGAGACUCCGCUGGGCGGCUCGGGGCGGUGCUGGCCCCUGUCCGGGCGCGACUGCCCCAAGGUGAGCCUGACCUUCUCGCUCCAGCGAGUGGGCCUGCGCUCUCCGACCCACCGAAUCCUGGGUUACCCGGGCGGAAGAGCUCGGCCCCCUCGGCCUGUCGCGGCCCCUGGGCUCCCGCCACCGGCCCAGGGCCCGUGAGGGGACGGGGCGCCGGGGAGGGGGGCCUGCGUGUCUCCCCGCCGGGCCUGCAGGCCGCCGGCCAGGGGCCUGGCAAGCCUGAAGGCGCUGGCGGCCCAGGCUCAGAUGAGGGAAGGGAAAGAAGGCAGUUAAGGCUGGGUCGGUGGGGAGGAGGUCGAAAGCGCCGCGACCACCGCAUUUUUCAGCUCGAACCUGAGCUCUCUAGUAGGUUAGCACGAGCCCCCUAAGGAAAGCAGUGUCGGGGGUCCUGAUGCUGUGAAGACGGUGAGUCACGGGCAAUGGAGCCGCAGCGCGCAAGUAUUCAAGUGUGAGGAGCGGGAGUUGCAGGUAGAGUAAAUACGUAAGACUUCUAGGCUUCCUGUUGGGUCCAGGAAUCUCUGGUAUGAGUAACAGCUUGGAGGUGCUACCGCUGAGUCACUAGAGGGCUUUUGAGUUGCGAUUGCGUAAAGAGGCGUGUCAGCACCCUUUUCGAGGGCGCCCAAGCAGAACUCACGCUACGGGCAAGCGAAAUCUGCGCUCCGUCGUUUGUAAUGGUAGGAACUGAAAGAAAACGUCGAACAGCUGGUAAGCAUUACGGAUUUUCAGUUUCCAUGGCGCUGACCCGGUAUCUGAAAGUUAUGGCUGAGACGGGCUAAGACGUGUUACCACUUGAUUCUUAAGUUUACACUCCUGCCGAUCCUGGAGAGGUCUUGUUUUUGGCGAGUGAUUUUUAUUUUUUUUUUUUUUUUAAGGGUGGAGUUUUAUUACACCACCCCAACAAGGUACUACUGCAGGGAACCGAAAAUUAAGAGGCUAAACCGUUGUUAUGCCUUGGGGGAAGGUGUGAACUGGCAAGAUGAAGAAAGGAGCUGAUUUUAUCAGGCACGGCAUCGUAACCAGCAUAAAGAAAUAAUCUCACCUCCUACAUCACAAAGAAGUGGAAGCUGUGAGAAAGAACUCCGCUCUCCUGCCAAGUAAUCUGCAAACCUAUUGAUGCCUACUGUUGGUACCCCCUCCAGUCACUCUUCUGUCCCUUCUACUGAAGGGAGUGGUGAGCUCUGGACUCCAUCCCACCAUCUCAUUCAGUCAUUCCGUGGGACCCCUUGGCUGGGCUUCCCUGGUGGCGCAGUGGUUGAGAGUCCGCCUGCCGAUGCAGGGGACAUGGGUUCAUGCCCGGUUCCGGGA